rnacentral:lncRNA from 1 species
UCUGCCGCUAGGUAAGUGAAGAUCUGCUCCCCUCCGUCUUCUCCUUCCUCUGUAGUGCGUGCGUCGAGUAGGAGCAUGGCUGUCGGUGCUCUGCUCUGUGACUUAGCAGCAGUAGCAGCAGCUUCAGAAGAUAGCGGCGGCAGCAGUAGUUAGCAUCAGCAGAAGUAGGCGGUAGAGCAGUGGCGUUGGCAGCAGACAGCAGCUUCGCAGUGCGGGCUUCCCUCUUGUAGUCGGCGUUGCUCCAGCGCGCAGGCAGCGUCGGGCAGUAGAAGCAGUAGCUUCAGGUCGUAGGGCAGCUCCGGGAGUAACAGUAGAGGCGAGCGCUGCAGCAGUAGCUUGCGGGCAGUAGCCGCGCAGCAGCAUUCAGUAGCAGCAACCGCGCACCGAUGCGUUCAUGUGCGUGAACGUGUACAUGUGCACCGGCGAGCUUCGCCGUUACCGGCAUCUCUCUACUCCAGCAGGUAGACGCCCCGGAUAUUUAGUCUUCUGGCGUGCUUCCCUACCUUGAGCAGAAUCUCCACGAUAUCGUAGUGGCAACCGAGUCGUGCUUCCUUCGAAGCGUCGUGGCAUCGAAUCUGGCUGCACUUUUUGUUUCUUCCUAUGUUUCUUUCUAUGGGUGCAUGCAUGUGGUGGAUCUGGUGUGGUUGUGGUGUAGCCGUGUGUGGAUAUGACAGACCCACAUGUCAUCCACUGAGGGGCCACUGCCAGGUGGGUCCCCUCCUCAUAAUAUUUUCCCUGUGUUUUUAUUAUUUUUUGUGAUUUGUCCUUGUGCUAAAUUGGCAUAUUUUCAUUUCUAGAAAUGUCCAGAUAUGGAAUUGCCAAUUUGGGCUGGCUCAAGAACAGUUCCUGCUCUUGACUAUAUGUUGUAGCUUGAUCCUGUGCUAUUUUUCUUUUGCUGUUUGUGGAGUGUUUCCGUAUGAAAAGGUGGCAGUAUGAUAUAUGGAUUUGGGGUAGAAAAUCUCAAUGAAUCCAGUGGUGUAGUUGGUUUCUGAUUUUGAGCAUCUCUUUAGAAGGUCCCCUUGUGGUGAGGUGGCAAUAGUUUUAUCAAUGUAGGGUUAUUUUAUGUGCUUGUUUGGAUCAGUGCAUACAUGUGCUUGUUUGGAUCAGUGCAUACAUGUAUCAAGGAGUCCGGAGAGUUCGUGCAGGAAGAACAAGAGCAGCUCCAGUCUGAAGAAAUCACACGCAAGAUGAUCGUGACCUUGACACCGUUUCUAGCUUUGUUAUGCUUAGUGUUACGUUUCCUUCGUUACAUCUCCGCUGCCUACCACAUGAUAUAUAGGCCAUCAAACAUUGCCAUGAAACCUCAAACACCUCCCCUCCUAGCAAAUAUUGUUCGGCUAAGUUAGCCUUGCUCGACCACUAAUUGAUAGUGUUGCUAGUUGCAAGUGCGAGCUGGUCCAUGUGAAAACAUGUGCAAUUUGAUAUCAUCUUAUAUAAUUGUUAUUUAAUUAAUACACCUAUAUACUUGGUAAAUAACAUAAGACCUAGCCUUUUGUCGGGUGAUUUGUUCCGUUGUUGUCACCUUAGUUUCGGCUAUCGGUGUUUUAUUCCAUAAUGAGUGCUCCUAACACGUUCGGGGUUGUUAUGGGGACCCCCUCGAUAAAUCUUAUAGUGUUAAGACUUGUCUGGCAGGACCCAACUUUGGUGUUAAUUUGCUAAUAACUUAAUAAUAAAAGCAUAGGGAAUAGCUACCCCGAGGAAUUAAACAACAACCCGGGCCAGUGCUCCUCAUGAGUGUUGGUCCAAAAUUGUCAACCGCCGGUGGCUACCAGGGGAAACUAUGCGAUUGGCCUAUCGGAAGUUUGGACAAUCCGCCGUGUCCUGAGAACGAGAUACACGGCUCCUAUGAGGAUCGUCGACGCGUCAGGAGGUCUUGCCGGACUUGUCUUACCUUAGCGAUAUAUCUUGCGCAUUGGGAUUCUGGUGAGACUUUGGGUCUUCUCAGAGUUGAGGUUUUCCUCGAAGGAAUCCGACGAGAUCACGAGUUUCGUGGUAGAGGAUUACUAUGCGUCCUGUGGUAAUUUGUGAUGGACUAGUUGGAGCACCCCUGUAGGGUUAAAUCUUUUGAAAAACCGUGCCCGCGGUUAUGUGGCAAACAUGGAUAUUUUUUUAACAUCCGGUUCUAGACAACUUAAAGUAAUCCAAAUAAAACUUUCCAACUGAGUGUGUAACCGUGAUUGUCUCCUUCAGAGCUCCUUCUUUGAUCGAGAACACGGUGGGGUUAUGAAUGACGUAAGUAGGUGUUCAGAAUCACUUAGUGAUCAUUCUAGUCUGCGACCUUCUUGCGUAGACCACCAUAUUUAAUUGUUCUUCAUCAUAAGUUAGCCACCAUAUAUGCUUAGGUCGCUGCAAAUCCAAACAUUUAACCUACCUCACCCAUUUAACUUAGUUAGACUCUAUACCAAGGUCAUGAGAUUGUUGAGUCCUCAUGGCUCACGGUUUACUACAAACACCCACAGGUACAGGUACCCCUGAUGCAGGAGUUCUCGAUGAUAGCCAGUUGAAGUGGGAGUUCAAUGAGGACAGCGGCAGGUUGUAUGUGACUUAUCCCGAGGACUAGAGGUCGUGGUCGUGAUCGUGGGACCAACAUGCAGGAUAUCAUAGUUUUUUCCGUUUAUCUUGUCCGUAGUCGGACCAUUCCAUGUUUUGAAUAAUGUAUGACUAUAUGACUAUGUACUUUAUCAGAUGGCAAGUGUAUGCCCUACUUGUUACUCUUUCAG